GUCCUCACUUUGGCAGCACAUAUACUAAAAUUUGAACAAUACAGAGAAGAUUAGUGUGGCCCCUGCACAAGGAUGAGACACAAAUUUGUGAAGCUUUUCAUACUUAA
ensembl:snRNA U6 U6 spliceosomal RNA